AUUGAACGCUGGCGGAAUGCUUUACACAUGCAAGUCGAACGGUAGAGGGGGCAACCCCUUGAGAGUGGCGAACGGGUGAGUAAUAUAUCGGAACGUGCCCAGUCGUGGGGAUAACGUAGCGAAAGCUACGCUAAUACCGCAUACGAUCUAUGGAUGAAAGCGGGGGAUCGCAAGACCUCGCGCGAUUGGAGCGGCCGAUAUCAGAUUAGGUAGUUGGUGAGGUAAAGGCUCACCAAGCCGACGAUCUGUAGCUGGUCUGAGAGGACGACCAGCCACACUGGACUGAGACACGGCCCAGACUCCUACGGGAGGCAGCAGUGGGGAAUUUUGGACAAUGGGCGCAAGCCUGAUCCAGCAAUGCCGCGUGCAGGAUGAAGGCCUUCGGUUGU
rnacentral:rRNA from 1 species